rnacentral:lncRNA from 10 species
AUCUGUAAAUAGUCAGAAAUAAGUGAAUUUAGCAAAGUUACUAGAGAUAAGAUCAAUUCUGGAAAAUCAUUUGCAUUUUUAUAUACUAGCAAAAAAGUUAGAAAAUAAAAAUUUAAAAUACUAUAUAAAAUAAAAUAAACCUACAAUUAUCUUAAAAAAGAAAAUAAGAUCCCGUCUUAACAGAUGAUUGCAACAAAAAAGAAAAAAUACAUCCUUUUUUGGUCUUUGCUUUUGAACUCUCACCACCUCUACCCUUUUACAUAUUCAUAAAAUGUGUCGCGGCAGAUGGCUGCGGCAGCUCUGUGCACUGUCUCCCUGUGUGGUCUCCCGGUCUCCAGCGCUCUUUUUCUUCCCUUCCCCUUCUUCUAAAUGCCCUGAUAAUCCACCCUCGACUCGC